UAGCAGGUAUGAUCAGUACCACUACGGUGCCCAUGAUUCCAGUGUCAAUCACCCCUCAAGUCAACAUAGUGGGGUCAGCGCUCAUCUACGCUCAUGUGGUCUUCAACUCUUCCACACCCAUCGCCAGUGACACCGCAGCAGUUAAUACUACGCACACACUUCUGUUGUCUUUGUCUGCAAACUUCUAUCAAACAAUUCAGGUGGAGAAUGUGACAUAUGAACAAAUAUCAGACACUUCAUAUGCAGUCAUCAUCAGCUUAAGGCUAAACAAUGUCAGCAUGCCAGAGAAAAGUGAAUCUGCAAACGACACAUAUAGCCAAAUUCAGAAUACUAUUAACAACAUGCUCAACACAGUCUUCAGUGAUUUUGGACAAAGUCUUUUGACUUUCCAAAGUGCAAACUUCAUGAUGAAUUCAGAUUAUAUUGAAGGGCACAUGGAGUAUCUCAUCCAUGAAAAUGAAAGUGCAGGUAUGAUCAGUACCACUACGGUGACCCUGUUUCCAGCUUUAAUCAAACCUCAAGUCAACAUAGUGGGGUCAGCUCUCAUCUACGCUUAUCUGGUCUUCAACUCUUCCACACCCAUCACCAGUGAGACCGCAGCAGUUAAUACUACACGCACACUUCUGUUGUCUUUGUCUGCAAACUUCUAUGAAACAAUUCAGGUGGAGAAUGUGACAUAUGAACAAAGUUCAGAGACCUCAUAUGCAGUUAUUAUCAGCUUAAGGCUAAGCAAUGUCAGCAUGCCAGAGUUAAGUGAAUCUGCAAAUGACACAUAUAACCAAAUUCAGAAUACUAUUAACAACAUGCUCAACACAGUCUUCAGUGAACAUGGACAAACUCUUUUGAUCUUUCAAUAUGCAAACUUUAUGACAAAUUCAGAUCAAAUUGAAGGGCUCAUGGAAUAUACAAUCCAGGAAAGUGAAACUACCACACUAUUUACAACUACAGCCACAUCAAUGUCUACAACAGAGGGUUUUGAUACAGCAAGCGCAACUGAAGCUGAGCCUGCUAGCACAAAAAUUACACUGUAUGUAUUAUAA
ensembl:lncRNA